rnacentral:rRNA from 1 species
CAGUCGCCACGGGAAUACAGAGGGUGCAAGCGUUAAUCGGAAUUACUGGGCGUAAAGCGCGCGUAGGUGGUUUGUUAAGUUGGAUGUGAAAGCCCCGGGCUCAACCUGGGAACUGCAUCCAAAACUGGCAAGCUAGAGUACGGUAGAGGGUGGUGGAAUUUCCUGUGUAGCGGUGAAAUGCGUAGAUAUAGGAAGGAACACCAGUGGCGAAGGCGACCACCUGGACUGAUACUGACACUGAGGUGCGAAAGCGUGGGGAGCAAACAGGAUUAGAUACCCGUGUAGUCCCUGUCUCUUAUAC